rnacentral:rRNA from 1 species
GACGAACGCUGGCGGCGUGCUUAACACAUGCAAGUCGAGCGGUAAGGCUCCUUCGGGAGUACACGAGCGGCGAACGGGUGAGUAACACGUGAGCAAUCUGCCCUUCUCAUCGGAAUAACCAUUGGAAACGAUGGCUAAUGCCGAAUAUGACCUCGGAGCACAUGUUCUGAGGUGGAAAGCUCCGGCGGAGAAGGAUGAGCUCGCGGCCUAUCAGCUUGUUGGUGAGGUAAUAGCUCACCAAGGCGAUGACGGGUAGCCGGCCUGAGAGGGUGACCGGCCACACUGGGACUGAGACACGGCCCAGACUCCUACGGGAGGCAGCAGUGGGGAAUAUUGGACAAUGGGCGAAAGCCUGAUCCAGCAACGCCGCGUGAGGGAUGACGGCCUGG